rnacentral:rRNA from 1 species
AUUGAACGCUGGCGGCGUGCUUAACACAUGCAAGUCGAUCGGUAACAGGUGUAGCAAUACAUGCUGACGAGAGGCGGACGGGUGAGUAAUGCUUGGGAAUCUGCCUAUUAGUGGGGGACAACCCGGGGAAACUCGGGCUAAUACCGCAUACGCUCUACGGAGGAAAGCCGGGGACCGCAAGGCCUGGCGCUAAUAGAUGAGCCCAAGUCGGAUUAGCUAGUUGGUAGGGAACGGCCUACCAAGGCGACAAUCCGUAGCUGGUCUGAGAGGACGACCAGCCACACCGGAACUGAGACACGGUCCGGACUCCUACGGGAGGCAGCAGUGGGGAAUAUUGGACAAUGGGGGCAACCCUGAUCCAGCGACGCCGCGUGGGUGAAGAAGGCCUGCGGGUUGUAAAGCCCUUUCGGUGGGGAAGAAAAGUCUCGACCUAAUACGUCGGGACCUUGACGUAACCCACUAAAGAAGCACCGGCUAACUCUGUGACAGCCGCCG